AGAGUUUGAUCAUGGCUCAGGAUGAAUGCUGGCGGCGUGGAUAAGGCAUGCAAGUCGAACGGUCCGCAAGGACAGUGGCAGACGAGGUAGUAACACGUAGGUACUCCCCCCAAAGUCUGGUAUAGCUCGUCGAAAGACGGGGUAAUCCCGGAUGGUCCCGAAAGGGUAAAGAUUUAUCGCUUUGGGAGAGGCCUGCGUAAUAUCAACUUGUUGGUGAGGUAAUGGCUCACCAAGGCUACGACGUUUAGGGGCGCUGAGAGGCGGACCCCCACCGAUGGGACUGAGACACGGCCCAUACUCCUACGGGAGGCCGCAGUCGAGAAUCUUCCGCAAUGGACGAAAGUCUGACGGAGCGACGCCGCGUGGUAGACGAAGUACUUCGGUACGUAAAUACCUUUUAUGUGGGACGAAAUUAUUGACGGUACCACAUGAAUAAGGGGCUCCUAACUCUGUGCCAGCAGGAGCGGUAAUACAGAGGCCCCAAGCAUUAUCCGGAAUCACUGGGCGUAAAGGGUGUCAAGGCGGCUAUAUUAGUCGUUCGUAAAAUCCGUGGGCUCAACCUACGGUCCGCGAGCGAAACGGUAUAGCUAGAGGUUGGAAGAGGUGCGUGGAACUCACGGUGUAGGGGUGAAAUCCGUUGAUAUCGUGGGGAACACCAAAGGCGAAGGCAGCGCACUGGUCCAAAUCUGACGCUCACACACGAAAGCCAGGGUAGCGAACGGGAUUAGAUACCCCGGUAGUCCUGGCCCUAAACGCUGCUCGCUCGUUCUGCGGAGUAUCGACCCUCUGCGGGACUAAGCUAACGCGGUAAGCGAGCCGCCUGGGUAGUACGAUCGCAAGAUUAAAACUCAAAGGAAUUGACGG
rnacentral:rRNA from 1 species